UCCGAACGCCCGCAGCAGGGUCAGAAGGGAGGUGGUCGCCCUCCGUCGUGGUCUGGCGUGUAUUCCGAGCCUUGGUGUCUGGCGGUUUCCGAGCGUUGGUGUCUGGCGGUUUCCGAGCGUUGGUGUCUUGGCGGUUUCCGACCGUUGGUGUCUGGCGGUUUCCGACCGUUGGUGUCUGGCACGCGCCACCCUCUCUUGCUUUGGUUGCGCCAUGCCGAUGUACCAGACAAGAAGACAAGAAAAUGAUUUGAGGACAGCUUCAAUCGCGGUGUGAAGAAGAAAGCAGCAAAACGACCACUGAAAACAACGCCGGUGGCAAAAUAUCCAAAGAAAGGGUCCCAAGCGGUACAUCGUCAUAGCCGGAAACAGUCAGAGCCACCAGCCAAUGAUCUUUUCAAUGCUGCGAAAGCUGCCAAAAGUGACAUGCAGCACCGAGAAGUCCGCGUGAAGUGCGUGAAGGCUCUGAAAGGGCUGUACGGUAACCGGGACCUGACCGCACGCCUGGAGCUCUUCACUGGCCGCUUCAAGGACUGGAUGGUUUCCAUGAUCAUGGACAGAGAGUACAGUGUGGCAGUGGAGGCCGUCAGAUUACUGAUACUUAUCCUUAAGAACAUGGAAGGGGUGCUGAUGGACGUGGACUGUGAGAGCGUCUACCCCAUUGUGUAGGCCUCUAAUUGAGGCCUGGCCUCUGCUGUGGGUGAAUUUCUGUACUGGAAACUUUUCUACCCUGAGUGCGAGAUAAGAACGAUGGGUGGAAGAGAGCAACGCCAGAGCCCAGGUGCCCAGAGGACUUUCUUCCAGCUUCUGCUGUCCUUCUUUGUGGAGAGCAAGCUCCACGACCACGCUGCUUACUUAGUAGACAACCUGUGGGACUGUGCAGGGACUCAGCUGAAGGACUGGGAGGGUCUGACAAGCCUGCUGCUGGAGAAGGACCAGAGCACGUGCCACAUGGAGCCAGGGCCAGGGACCUUCCACCUCCUAGGGUGAAACCAGGAGAGAUUGCUUGCUUCACUUGUACAAGGCAGGAACGGUGGCAUGGGGUGGGGGAAACUUGGAGUUGGAAGGUGGCUAAUCUUUGAUUCUAUGUUUUUGAUCCUCCUGGCACUCCAGACCUGGGUGAUGUGCAGGAGAGCACACUGAUAGAAAUCCUUGUGUCCAGUGCCCAGCAACUCCUGCCUCAGCCUCCCGAGCAGCUGGGACUACAGGCGCCCGCCACCACGCCUGGCUAACUUUUUUGUAUUUUUAGUAGAGACGGGUUUUCACCGUGUUAGCCAGGAUGGUCUUGAUCUCUUGACCUUGUGAUCCACCUGCCUCAUCAUCCCAAAGUGCUGGGAUUACAGGCGUGAGCCACUGCGCCCAGCAUGUUAGACAAUUUUUAAUUCAUCCUCUCUGUGCUGUUGUUUUCUCAGCUGUGAAAGGAAUAUUCUGGUGGGGACAAGGUUACAGAGUUGCUGAGAGGGUCUCAUGACAUGAAGGUACUGGCCUUGGCACAGUGCCUGGGGGGGCGGGGACUCCGCACAUGCCUGUGAUGUCACAGUUACUGUCAGUUCACAGCGAACCUUCCCUCCUUUUCCUGUUGACUUUCCCACACUCCUGUAACCCUCCCUCCCUCCCUUCUUCCUCUCUCUCUCUCUCACUCACGCACACGCACACACACACACACACACACACACACACACACUCCAUUCUCUGUCUCCAUGACUCUGGAGUAAACUAACGUCUCGAGUUGCCAUUGGAAGCCCCAUUGUCCUCAUUUUGUUUUGUUUUGUUUGUUUGAGACGGGGUCUCGCUCUGUCCCCCAGGCUGGAGUGCAGUGGUGCGAUCUCAGCCCACUGCAGCCUCCGCCUCCUAGGUUCAAGCGAUUCUCCUGCCUCACCCUCCUGAGUAGCUGUGAUCAUAGGUGCCCGCCACCACACCCGACUAAUUUUUGUGUUUUUUAGUAGAGACAGGGUUUCACUAUGUUGGCCAGGCUGGUCUCAAACUCCUGACCUCAGGUGAUCCGCCCACCUUGGCCUCCCAAAGUGCUGGGAUUACAGGAGUGAGCCACCAUGCCCAGCCUCCGUUGUCCUCAUUUAGACUUUCAUGGGUUAUAGGCACUUUUGACUUCCUGGGGUCCUUCUUCAGUUAAAAAAAAAAA
ensembl:lncRNA novel transcript